UGCCAGACUCCUACGGGAGGCAGCAGUGGGGGAUAUUGCACAAUGGGGGAAACCCUGAUGCAGCGACGCCGCGUGAAGGAAGAAGUAUCUCGGUAUGUAAACUUCUAUCAGCAGGGAAGAAAAUGACGGUACCUGACCAAGAAGCCCCGGCUAACUACGUGCCAGCAGCCGCGGUAAUACGUAGGGGGCAAGCGUUAUCCGGAUUUACUGGGUGUAAAGGGCGUGUAGGCGGGGACGCAAGUCAGAUGUGAAAACCAUGGGCUCAACCUGUGGCCUGCAUUUGAAACUGUGUUUCUUGAGUACUGGAGAGGCAGACGGAAUUCCUAGUGUAGCGGUGAAAUGCGUAGAUAUUAGGAGGAACACCAGUGGCGAAGGCGGUCUGCUGGACAGCAACUGACGCUGAGGCGCGAAAGCGUGGGGAGCAAACAGGAUUAGAUACCCGUGUA
rnacentral:rRNA from 1 species